ACCUGGCUGGCUCAGUCUGUGGAGCAUGCGACUCAGGUUCUCAGGGUUGUGGGUUUGAGCCCCACAUUGGGUA
rnacentral:tRNA from 1 species